UACGUAGGGUGCAAGCGUUAAUCGGAAUUACUGGGCGUAAAGGGCUCGUAGGCGGUCAACUAAGUCAUACGUGAAAUCCCUCGGCUUAACCGGGGAACUGCGUCUGAUACUGGAUGGCUUGAGUUCGGGAGAGGGAUGCGGAAUUCCAGGUGUAGCGGUGAAAUGCGUAGAUAUCUGGAGGAACACCGGUGGCGAAGGCGGCAUCCUGGACCGAUACUGACGCUGAGGAGCGAAAGCCAGGGGAGCAAACGGG
rnacentral:rRNA from 1 species